GUCAAAAUGCUAGCUUAAACAAACUUGUAAAUAAAAAGUAAUUAUAAGAGAAUAUAAUAAACAUAAACCAAAACAAACCAUUUUUCAACCCUAGUAUAGGAGAUAGAAAAGGAAAAAUACGCUAUAACUGAAGUACCGUAAGGGACCGCUGAAAAAGAAAUGAAAAACCUUUUAAACAAAAGCAAAGAAAAGAUUAAAUCUUGUACCUUUCGCAUCAUGGCUUAACUAGUCCAUUUAAGCAAAAAGAAUUUUAGUUUAAAACCCCGAAACCUGGCGAGCUACCUUAGGACUGUUUUAUGAACUAAUCCGUAUCUGUGGCAAAAGACUGGAAAGAUCUUAAGGUAGAGGUGAAAAGCCUACCGAGACAGGUUAUAGCUGGUUGCUUGAGAAAAGAGUGUAAGCUCCCCCAACUUACUCUCCUGCUAUAUUUAAAGAUCAGAGAGUUAAUAAAGGAAGAUAAUAGGGGUGCAGCCCUAUUAAUAAAGGAAACACCCUCUUAAGGAGAUUAAAGACUAUAAUAUUUUAAGAAAAUGUGUUUAAGUGGGCCUAAUAGCAGCCACCAACAUAAAAGCGUUAAAGCUUGUUCACGAACUAUCUUUAGAUCUCAGUAUACGCCCUGAAAUCCCCUAAAUUAUCAAGCUGUUCUAGAAACUAGAAGAAAUAAUGUUAAGAUGAGUAAUAAGAAGCUUAGAACUUCUCCCAGCACAUCCUUGACCCGGAAACGAACCCCCGCCGGGAAUUAACGGCCCAACCACGGAAUUGAGAAAUACACCAAGACUUUGCUCCCUAUUCACCGUCCAACCCACACUGGUGUGCUACAAACGAAAGAAUAAAAGAAAAAGAAGGAACUCGGCAAAACAAGCCUCGCCUGUUUACCAAAAACACCACCUCUUGCAUUCCUAGUAUAAGAGGCUCCGCCUGCCCGGUGACAAUAGUUCAACGGCCGCGGUAUUUUGACCGUGCGAAGGUAGCGUAAUCACUUGUCCUUUAAAUGAAGACCUGUAUGAAUGGCAUCACGAGGGCUUAACUGUCUCCUUUUUCUGUUCAAAGAAAUUUAUCUCUCCGUGCAGAAGCGGGGAUAACUACAUAAGACGAGAAGACCCUGUGGAGCUUUAAGUAUUGAUAGUCCCUCUAAAAAAUCAUUCAAGGCUAAAAAAUAAGGAAUCUACUCUAAUACUUUUGGUUGGGGCGACCGCGGAGUACAAAUUAACCUCCAAGAAGACAGCAACUCAUUUAAACCACGAAAGUAACUUCUAAGUACUAGAAAAUCUAACAAAAGACCCGGCAAUGCCGAUCAACAAACCCAGUUACCCCAGGGAUAACAGCGCAAUCUUCUUCAAGAGCCCAUAUCGACAAGAAGGUUUACGACCUCGAUGUUGGAUCAGGACACCCCAACGGUGCAGCCGCUGUUAAAGGUUCGUUUGUUCAACGAUUAAAGUCCUACGUGAUCUGAGUUCAGACCGGAGUAAUCCAGGUCAGUUUCUAUCUAUGAUAAAAUUCCUUUUCAGUACGAAAGGACCAGAAGGAAGAAGCCUAUGUUUAAAAUACGCUUCAUCUUUUACCUCUGAUCUAAACUAAAGAGGGGUAAAGGACUACAUACCCCGCCCUAGAAAAGGGCUA
rnacentral:rRNA from 1 species